rnacentral:rRNA from 1 species
UACGUAGGUGGCAAGCGUUGUCCGGAAUUAUUGGGCGUAAGCGCGCGCAGGCGGUCCUUUAAGUCUGAUGUGAAAGCCCACGGCUCAACCGUGGAGGGUCAUUGGAAACUGGGGGACUUGAGUGCAGGAGAGAAGAGUGGAAUUCCACGUGUAGCGGGUGAAAUGCGUAGAGAUGUGGAGGAACACCAGUGGCGAAGGCGACUCUUUGGCCUGUAAA